rnacentral:lncRNA from 1 species
AACUUCUUAAUAUAUAUUCUCAUAGAUUUUGUCAAUCUUGGAAACGAACCCUUCGAUGAUAAUGUGUAGAAUCUUAGAUGUUCAAAUCCUCUAAUCUUGUGCUUGUCCUAUACCUCUAUCAUAAUGUUCUCUUUUCAUUCCUUAAAAUUUGUGCUGUUAAGCACAGGGAUACUGUUAAUGUUUGCAGAUAUUGUAGCGGCUGAAGAAUUUACUGAAAAUAGAACAAGGACAACUUAAUACAUGCUUACAAUUACUUGAAUUCUAACUUUAGUU